rnacentral:rRNA from 1 species
AUUAUUUUAAGCUAUAUAUUAGGAGUAAAUAAAAUUUAUGAAAUUAAAAAAUUUUGGCGGUAUUUUAAGCUUAUUAGAGGAAUUUGCUCUGUGAUGGACACAACGCCUUAAUCUUACUUAAUUUAGUAAUUUAAAUCAGUUUGUAUACCACUAUAUUAAUUAUAUUGAAUAGUUAUAUUUAAAAUUUUUUUAAAAAAAUAUAUUAAGUCAAGGUGCAUCUAAUAAUUAUGAAUGAAGUGAAUUACAUUAAUUUUAAUGUAAUUUUUUACAUGAAAAAAUUAAUUAGGAUUUAAUAGUAAAAUACUAAUACUAUGAGUAUUUGAAUCAAGCUCUAAAAUAUGCAC